GAGACCCCACCUGAGGGGGAGGGGACGUCACCACAGAGAGGGAGGCCGGGGCGCCCAGCCAGCACCCUGUUGGGGCUGAGAGGGGGCAUCGGGCACCUCGACUGGCUGGCUGCUUCUCCGGAGCCUGGGGCCCCCAGCGCAGGCCAGGGAGGAGUGGGCAGGGAGGGACCGGAGAGCCCUGCUCCAGGGAGAGAGGAAGCCGGCGUGAGCAGCGACUGCGCUGUGCCCAGAAAGGGGCACUUGUUUUCCAGUCCCACUUCCAAAAAAGGCUGGAAGCAGCCGCCGAGGCACCAAGCAAAAAGGAAGGUGGCCAGCGCUCUGGAAGCUGCGACUCUGAGUGGGAGCCAGGUGGGAGAGGAGCCCGGGCAGGCAGGAGCGCAGAGCCACCAGCGUGCGGGCUUCGGCGCAGAGCAGUCCUCUGCCAGCCAUCUUCCCGCCCUCAGCUCUACCUGGGGCCAGUCAGGGGAGAGAAAGAGGCACGGAGGCAGAAAUUGUGAGCUGCCGUGUGUGUGUGUGUGUGUGUGUGUGUGUGUGUGUGUGUGUGUGAGAGAGAGAGAGAGAGAGAGAAAGAGAGAGAGCUGGUGUGUGUGAGAGAGAGAGGGAGAGAGAGCUGGUGUGUGUGUGUCUGCGUACCCCUGCGCAUGUGCGUGCGGGCCACGGGCGGGGGUCCAUCCCCUUUGUGUCCUCUUUACUACUCUCAUCUACCCCACUCUCUCAUGAGCUCCUGACUUGAAAAAUAUACCUCUUCUUUUUUUUUUUUUCCGAUAAAUAAACCUUGGUUGACCUGUACUGGUUUACAGUCUGCAGCUUCCUUAUUGGCCUUAAGCUUCCCUGAUGGCUCAGACAGUAAAGAAUCUGCCUGCAACGCAGAAGGCCCAGGUUCAGUCCCCGGGUUGGGAAGAUCCCCUGGAGAAAGAAAUGGCAACCGACUCCAGUAUUACUGCCUGGAGAAUUCCAUGGACAGUGGAGCCUGGGGGGCUACUGUCCAUGGGAUCCCAAAGAGCUGCACACACACGACUCACCCAGCUUUCACAAACUUAACUAAAUAAUUAAGUAGAAGGUGCCUGCUCACUUCUGUGUAAUUCUCGCUGGGAAAUGCUCUGCAUGAAAGUCCUGGUCUAGAACUUCCACUAAGGCGCCUGUCAGGUAUCAGACCUUACUCCCUGAGUUUCAGGGGUCCUGCCCCUUUCUCCUGCCCUUCCCUAACAGCUGGGGGACCUCAGUGCAGCAGGGAGGGGCUGGCCAGGCCCGUGCCUAGAUCAAGGAGUGCCCAGCACCAGGGCCAGCCAGGGGUAGGGGCGGUUCCGACCUCCAACCAAAUGGCCUCUGGCCUCUAAGAGGCAUACUUCUACACUGGCUGAGCGGGCAGGCGGGUCCCAGGGAGAGGGGGCUGCCCUCAGCCUCGGGGAAAGGGCGUCCUGGACCCCUCUCCGGCCUCAGCCCCCAGGGUCCGCGCUGCCCUGGGGCCACCUGGGAAGCGCACUGCCUCCUCCGGGUGCGAGGCUCCCGCGCCGGCGCCAUCACAGGGGCGCCUGCCUCCUGUGCCCGGUUCCCGGAGUGCGCGCCCCUCCUGGGUUCUCGGCGGGCUCCGUGACUCCCCGCCCAUCCCAGCCAGGCACUGGGCGCCCCGCUCCGCCCCGGACUGGGACCCCACAGCUAAAAUCGUGAACGUUGGGGCGGGAGGGGUGAGGGACGCUCGACCACGGGCAGCUGGGCAGGAUCGGCCUGGGGAGAGACCCCCGGAGCCGGCUGGGGAAGAGAAUCCCUGGACCCGAGGUCGGCCCUGACUGUCCGCCGCUGAGCGGUCAGGGCCGCGGCUCCAAGGUGGACCGGGAGGCAGGGCGCGCCCGCUGGAGCCCUCCGCGCGGACCCUGCCCCGCGCCCCCGGAUGGGGGCGCCGGGGGCCCCCCGCGCUCCCCCCCGGCCGG
rnacentral:lncRNA from 1 species